rnacentral:lncRNA from 1 species
CAGGUUCAGCUCAUGCUGCAGUGGGACAGGUGGGCCCCUUCUGCACCCAGGUGGCAGCUCAAUUGCUGGCAAGGUGGAAGCUAGGAAUGGGUAGUUAGCCCUGAUCCCCAGCACCUGGUUCAAAGGCCAUUUAAGAAGCCAGAGAGACACCUGCAUGUUUGGAAAGAGCAGGAAGAUCUCCAUGCUUGGUUUGAAGGAGCUCUUGAAUCCUGCUGAGAGGCUCUGGAGUGCUUAUGUUACAUUUGCUGAAGAAUCUAUCAUCCUGAAAGAUAACCUGAUCCUGGAACGACCUGCAAACUGUCCACUAAGGCCAAGUGAUGGAUGUCUUUAGCUAUGAACUGCAUGCCUUGUUUCACCAAAGUUCCCUUUAAAAUGAAAUUCUGUGAAGUAUUAAACACACAGGGCUUAUUCACUUGUUUGUGUUGGAUAAGUGAAUUAGAUGCUUGUGGAAAAUGCCAGAUGGGCUGCAUGGGAGCCAGGAAGUCUCUGUCUCUCCACCAAGCAGCAACAGUGUUUACUUGCCAGAUUGUGCUGUCAAAAUGCCCUAACCUGACCCAUAGGUCUUGCCUUCAGUGCUCUUCAUUGAUGGUUCUGGAUGCCAAAAAGCAGAUAGUAAACCACUAG